GAUGAGAACGUAGCGAAAUGCGAUAAGUAAUGUGAAUUGCAGAAUUCAGUGAAUCAUCGAAUCUUUGAACGCACAUUGCGCCCGCCAGUAUUCUGGCGGGCAUGCCUGUCCGAGCGUCAUUUCAACCAUCAAGCCCCCGGGCUUGUGUUGGGGACCUGCGGCUGCCCGCAGGCCCUGAAAACCAGUGGCGGGCUCGCUGUCACACCGAGCGUAGUAGCAAUCACCUCGCUCAGGGCGUGCUGCGGGUUCCGGCCGUUAAACAGCCUUACAAAACCCAAGGUUGACCUCGGAUCAGGUAGGAAGACCCGCUGAACUUAAGCAUAUCAAUAAGCGGAGGA
rnacentral:misc_RNA from 1 species